AUGAAGAGUUUGAUCCUGGCUCAGGAUGAACGCUAGCGGCAGGCCUAACACAUGCAAGUCGAACGGUAACAGGAAAUAGCUUGCUAUUUUGCUGACGAGUGGCGCACGGGUGCGUAACGCGUAUACAAUCUACCUUUUGCUGAGGGAUAGCCCAGAGAAAUUUGGAUUAAUACCUCAUGGUAUUAUUGAUAGGCAUCUAUUAAUAAUUAAAGGUUACGGCAAAAGAUGAGUAUGCGUCCCAUUAGCUAGUUGGUGAAGUAACGGUUCACCAAGGCAACGAUGGGUAGGGGGCCUGAGAGGGUGAUCCCCCACACUGGUACUGAGACACGGACCAGACUCCUACGGGAGGCAGCAGUGAGGAAUAUUGGACAAUGGAGGCAACUCUGAACCAGCCAUGCCGCGUGCAGGAAGACUGCCCUAUGGGUUGUAAACUGCUUUUAUAUAGGAAGAAACCUUUCCACGUGUGGAGAGCUGACGGUACUAUAAGAAUAAGGAUCGGCUAACUCCGUGCCAGCAGCCGCGGUAAUACG
rnacentral:rRNA from 1 species